rnacentral:rRNA from 1 species
CAAUAGCGUAUAUUAAAGUUGUUGCGGUUAAAAAGCUCGUAGUUGGAUUUCUGCCGAGGACGACCGGUCCGCCCUCUGGGUGAGCAUCUGGUUCGGCCUGGGCAUCUUCUUGGAGAACGUAUCUGCACUUGACUGGGUGGUGCGGUAUCCAGGACUUUUACUUUGAGGAAAUAGGAGUGUUCCAAGCAGGCUCUCGUCGUGCACAGCUCAGCAUGGAAUAAUAGCAUUGGACCUCGAUUCUAAGCUGUUGGUUGCCAGAAGCGAGGUAAUGAUGAAGAGGGAUAGUUGGGGGGCGAUUCGUAUUUAACUGUCAGAGGUGAAAUUCUUGGAUUUGUUUAAAGACGGACUACUGCGAAAGCAUCUGCCAUGGAUGUUUUCAUUGAUCAAGAACGAAAGUUAGGGA